rnacentral:rRNA from 1 species
AUGGUUACUUUUGGAGGCAUCUUCUGCGUGGUUAUUCUGGCUGUGAUGCUCCCCUGCUUGGAUGUUGCACUGGGGCAAAGUACUGACCCUUCCGAAGUUGAUGCACUCGGGGCUAUAAAGGGAAGCUUACUUGAUCCUAUGAAUAACCUUGAGAACUGGAACAGGGGAGAUCCAUGCACUUCUAAUUGGACAGGAGUUUUCUGCCACAUCAUCAAUGAUGCGCUUCAUGUGACAGAAUUACAGUUAUUUAAGAGGAACCUGUCUGGAACUUUGGCACCAGAGGUCAGUCUUUUAUCUCAGCUGAAAACACUGGAUUUUAUGUGGAACAAUUUAACAGGCAGCAUCCCAAAAGAGAUAGGAAACAUCACUACACUCAAACUUAUACUAUUGAAUGGCAAUCAGCUCUCUGGUUUCCUACCAGAUGAGAUUGGCAACCUUCAGAACUUGAACAGGUUACAAAUUGACCAAAACCAAAUACUGGGACCGAUACCGAAGUCAUUUGCCAACUUAAGACAUGUGAAACAUCUCCACAUGAACAAUAAUUCAUUAAGUGGGAAAAUUCCAUCUGAAUUGUGGAGAAUCCCAUUACUUCUUCACCUGCUUGUUGAUAACAACAAUUUGUCUGGACCUCUUCCUACAGAAUUAGCAAAGGCACCUGCUUUGAAAAUAUUUCAGGCUGACAACAAUAACUUCAGUGGAAGUUCCAUCCCUGCUACAUACAGCAACAUAAAAACACUGUUAAAGCUGAGUCUUAGGAACUGCAACUUGCAGGGCGCUAUUCCUGAUCUGAGUGCCAUAUCUGAACUUGGAUAUUUGGAUCUUAGCUGGAACAAACUGACAGGACCAAUACCAACUAAUCAGCUUGCAUCAAAUAUCACUACUCUUGAUUUGUCACACAACAUGCUUAAUGGAACUGUCCCGUUGAACUUCUCAGGGCUUCCUAAUCUUCAGCUUUUGUCAGUUGAAAACAACCGUCUAGAUGGUGCUGUUCCCUCGGAAAUCUGGAAUGACAUCGUUCUUACUGGAAAUCGAAGCCUUGUUCUGGACUUCCAAAAUAAUUCCCUGAAGACUAUUCCGGCUGCAUUUAAUCCUCCCCAAAAUGUUACUGUAAUGUUGUAUGGAAACCCUGUCUGUGGGAAUUCUAGUGGAGCUCCGAUAGACAGCCUCUGUCAACCCCAGUCUGUAAACCAGCAAACCUCUAGACAGCAACAAGACUCUAGCCUAAUUUGUUCACCUUGCCCAUCGGAUAAAAAUUACGAGUACAACCCAUCAUCACCUAUACCGUGUUUUUGUGCCGUGCCACUUGGAGUUGGAAUUCGACUGAAGAGUCCAGGAAUCACAGACUUCAAUCCUUAUGAAGGUGCCUUCGGGGACAGCACAACGUCUUUAUUGAAACUGUAUAUUUACCAGCUACAUGUUGAGCACUACAUAUGGGAGGUGGGUCCAAGGCUCAACAUGCACCUCAAGUUAUUCCCAAGCAAUACAAGUUUGUUCAAUAUGUCUGAGGUUGUGCGACUCCGACAUGUACUUGCUGGAUGGGAAAUUACUCUUCCAGAUAUCUUUGGUCCAUAUGAGCUUCUCAAUUUCACACUUGGUUCCUAUGUGGAUGAAUAUCCAAAUGAAGCUUCAUCAGGUUUAAGCAAAACGGCAAUGGGUGCUAUCCUGGCAAGCGCAAUAGCUGCUGCUUUUGCACUUUCUGCAGUAGCCACUGUUCUUAUAAUGAGAAGGCGUUCAAGACACAGAAGUAGAACAGUUUCAAAACGUUCACUGUCGAGAUUUUCUGUCAAAAUUGACGGUGUGAGGUGCUUUAAAUUUGAAGAAAUGGCUAGGGCCACCAAUAAUUUUGACCUAUUAGCUCAAGUUGGUCAAGGAGGUUAUGGAAAAGUCUAUAGAGGAACUCUAGAUGAUGGGGAAAUUGUAGCAAUCAAACGGGCACAUGAGGAUUCUCUGCAAGGUUCGAAGGAGUUCUGCACGGAAAUAGAGCUCCUAUCCAGAUUGCAUCAUCGCAAUCUGGUUUCGUUAGUUGGCUAUUGUGAUGAAGCAGAUGAACAGAUGCUAGUUUAUGAAUACAUGCCAAAUGGUACUUUACGCGAUCAUCUUUCUUCCAAGGCCAAACGAUCUCCCGGUUUUGUGUUGAGGCUUCACAUAGCAUUGGGUGCCUCCAAGGGAAUUCUGUAUCUACACACUGAUGCAAACCCUCCUAUAUUUCACCGUGAUGUGAAGGCCAGUAACAUUCUUCUGGACUCGAAAUUUGUUCCAAAAGUGGCUGACUUUGGUCUUUCGAGGCUUGCUCCAGUGCCAGAUAUUGAAGGAACAUUAGCAGGUCAUGUUUCCACUGUUGUCAAGGGCACACCGGGAUAUCUUGAUCCAGAAUACUUCCUGACUCAUAAAUUGACGGAUAAAAGUGACGUGUACAGCCUUGGUGUUGUGUUUCUUGAAAUGUUGACUGGGAUGAAGCCAAUUGAGCAUGGGAAAAACAUAGUGCGAGAGGUAAACAAAGCGUACCAAUCAGGCAAUAUUUCUGAAAUCGUUGACAGACGGAUGGGCCUGUGUCCUCCAGACUGCAUCAAUAGGUUCCUCUUGCUAGCAACCAAGUGCUGCCAGGAUGAGACCGACGCGAGGCCUUCCAUGUCGGAGAUUGUCCGAGAACUCGAGGUCAUCUUGAGGAUGAUGCCGGAGGCGGAUCUUGUUCUGAUGGAUACUACGGACACAGACUCAGGUGACAUGAGUAAAUCCUUGUCAACUUCUUCAGCAACCGGAACUUCCUUUGUCACACAAACCUCUGGCAGUGUUAAUGCAAGCAGCGGCGUCCUCUCCGAGGUGCUGGCUCCUCGCUGA